UGCAGGGCCAAAACCUUCUGAGGCUCUGCUGCCACCAGUCUUGUUCAGCAAAUAAACAAGCCGUCUUCCCUUUGGGUUCAGGAUGCUUUUUUGUAGGAAAGGAGUUAUUAGUACUUAAUAGCUUCUAACUCACAGGGAAACAGGUUUGUGUGGGCUGUGGGUGUUUGUCUCUUUUUACUUGUACGGGAGUCUUCGAGAAUAGCCCAUCCAGGUCUUUUAAGGAGCUCUCAUCUGCUGAUGGAUAAGCCACAAAUAGGGAGCCCAGGUCAUUUUUCGAAAGUAUUUACUUACACCUGCUGGGAAAAGGCCUCAGCAAACAUUUAUCAAGUGCCUCCUUGGCGCCUGGGGCCGACUGAGGAGUGGAAGGAGAGUUUGGCUUACUUAGCAAACACACUGCUUGACCCACGAGGAGGAGAGGAGACCUAUCGCAGUGUCAGGAGCCGGGAAUGCACCUCUGUGGACACUACAAGCUGAAGAAUUCAUAUCAGAAUUGUGCAAACAGAAAUAUCCAAGAAAACAACUAUAGUCCCAGGUUACCUGGUUGGUAGCUGGUACAGUGGGGCCAGAGCCCACGCACAAGCAUUUCCCAGGAAAGCCAUGAAGAAACUGAAGCCCAGAGAGGUUAAACAGCUUGCUGAGGGCCAUGCAACUUGAUGGAAUUGGGGAUGAAACCCAGUGAUUUGAACUGGAGCUCACAUCACAGUGCCCACUGAGCACCACCAUGUGCCUCAUGCAAAUGUUCAUUUUUUGAGCACGAGUUCUCUAAGCCAGCAGAACCGAGGAAACAGCAGAGCGU
ensembl:lncRNA